AUUGAACGCUGGCGGCAGGCCUAACACAUGCAAGUCGAACGAGUGGCGGACGGGUGAGUAAUGUCUGGGAAACUGCCUGAUGGAGGGGAAUAACUACUGGAAACGGUAGCUAAUACCGCAUACCAUCGGAUGUGCCCAGAUGGGAUUAGCUAGUAGGUGGGGUAAAGGCUCACCUAGGCGACGACCCCUAGCUGGUCUGAGAGGAUGACCAGCAACACUGGAACUGAGACACGGUCCAGACGCCUAGGGGAGGCAGCAGGGGGGAAUAUGGCACAAUGGGCGCAAGCUUGAUGCGACCAUGCCGCGUGUAUGAAGAAGGCCUUGGGGUUGUAAAGUACUUUCAGCGGGGAGGCGUUACCCGCAGAAGAAGCACCGGCUAACUCCGUGCCAGCAGCCGCGUAAUAC
rnacentral:rRNA from 1 species